GUGGGGAAUAUUGGGCAAUGGGCGCAAGCCUGACCCAGCAACGCCGCGUGAGGGAAGAAGGCUUUCGGGUUGUAAACCUCUGUCCUUGGUGACGAAACAAAUGACGGUAGCCAAGGAGGAAGCCCCGGCUAACUACGUGCCAGCAGCCGCGGUAAUACGUAGGGGGCGAGCGUUGUCCGGAAUUACUGGGCGUAAAGGGUGCGUAGGUGGCCUUUUAAGUUGGAUGUGAAAUACCCGGGCUUAACUUGGGGGGUGCAUCCAAAACUGGAAGGCUAGAGUGCAGGAGAGGAAAGCGGAAUUCCUAGUGUAGCGGUGAAAUGCGUAGAUAUUAGGAGGAACACCAGUGGCGAAGGCGGCUUUCUGGACUGUAACUGACACUGAGGCACGAAAGCGUGGGGAGCAAACAGGAUUAGAAACCCCUGUAGUCC
rnacentral:rRNA from 1 species